UGGCGUCUCAGCGUGCCCUUGCCCAGGAGGUGCAGGAUGCAGGAGAGGACGUCAGUGCUGCUGCAGGCAGACCCCCUACCAAGGCUGCUGACCAAACCCCUGGGAGGACAUGGGCCCUUCUGCCAAGCUUCCAGCACCUGGUGUGGGGGAGGAAGGGAGAAGCGGUAGGUUAGAGGCAGCUGACCCCUCCUUGCUUGAGCUUCCACUCCAACCACAGGCUGCUAGGACAGGAUGCCCCAAGGACACCAGGUGCAUCCCGACUUCACUCCUCACACUCCUAUAGGCUACAUAGUGAACCACGUGCUUCACCACACGUGGAUCUACCUUGUUCUGUAGACUGCUCCCCCAACCCCAGCAAAGAUCCAUCACCCACUGUGCCCACCCCUGCCUACCAGACAGACAAGCUGGUCAAUGUGCAGCCCCUCAUCCCCAUGGGCCUUGAGGAUUCGGACGAUGAGGCAGUUCAGAAGAUUCCGUCUCUUCUCCAAGUUCCGGCCCUCUUCACCCUCAGCUUGCAGCUUUAGGAGUUCCUGAUCCAGCCGCUGGAGCUGGUAGACGUGGAACUGGCGCUGCAGCUCCUUAGAGGUGCUCAGGCUCUUCAACAUCUGCUGGGGGAGGCGGUUGGGGAAGCAGGGACCAAUCUGCUCCAGCACGGCACCCUCCAGCCAGCUCGAGACCACGCCCAGGAGACGGUCCGCCAUGUAGUGCCUACAGUGCAUGCAGCCCGGGCCAAGCUUCAGUGUGGGCACCAGUGUGGCCCAGCCUCCCACUCCAAGGCUCCAGCCUGGCUCUAUCCCAGACUUCCAGGCCCAUGAGCUGGCUCUUCCACCAUCAUCCUGCCUCCCGCCAGCUCCCGCUCCCUAGGUCCACACUCACUGGUAAUAAUGCUCAAAGGUAGUAGCUAUCUCCAGGCCGGAGAAAAUCAGGACAGCUUGCAGGCACUGCUGCAGCUGUGCCAGCCUCUCCAUUUCCUGGGCUCCACCGAUCCGGCUGCCCUGGAUCUGCUGGUCAAUGUGCCGGGCGAACUGCUCACUCACCUGAGUAAUGGCAGAGCACAGGAAAGCCAUGAAUAAGCAAGCAGAGCAGGCCUGCUCCUGCCCACCUGCUUCUCCACCACGGCUUGCCAACAGCGCGUCAGGUUUCUCAUGAUGCUGCUUGGAAGGCCCCGGGUAGCCAAGGAACUCCAGUCGUGGCUUCUGUUUCUGCCCUCUGUGGAGAUCAAGAAAGUGGCAGAGGCAAGGAGUGGGCAGCCCCUCCACUCCAGUUGCUAUCCAAGGGGGUGCCCUGAGGCCUUUCCUGACAUGCUGCCACCCAAAGUGAUGUUCAUGGAUGGGAGGUGACACAAACCUGGAAGAUGAACAGGCUGAGCCCAUAGGGAGGGGAAGGAUGGGGAUGGAUAGAAGCCUGUGGUGUACACGUGGGGCCCAGGAAAAUGCUCUUGACUAGAGCUCCCCACCUGGAUCCCCACUACUCACUGGGCCGAGGAGUGGCCGCCACAGGAGGGGGUGCCUCGCAGGGCUCGACAUGCACCAGCAGGUGAGUGAGUCGGCGCACCCGCGAGAAGAAAGCUGGGCCGCGGCUCUGGGGGUUGAAGACAGCUUCCUGACACUCCAGGUACUGUUCCAGCAGCCAACCCAGGGGGCUAACGCCAUCCUCAUCUAGAGGGUGAGAAAAAGGCACAGCCAUGUCUGUAGGGAAGUGGGAGAGGUUGGGCUGAACAGCAGUGUAGAGAUAGAGCAACUGGACGAAAUGAUACAAGGGAGGAGCCAGGUAGGGUGGUUUAUACCUGUAAUCCCAGCACUUUGGGAGGUUGAAAUGAGAGGACUACUUGAGGCCAGGAGUUUGAGCCCAGCCUGGUCAACAUAGCAGGACCCCAUCUUUAAAAAUAAUAA